rnacentral:RNase_MRP_RNA from 1 species
GGAAAGUCCCCGUGCCUUGGUGCAGAGAGUGCCUUGGUGCAGAGAGUGUGAGUGGGAG